GAUAGUUAUAAUAAACAAUCAAAUAAUUUUAAGAAAAAUUCUAUCUCUUCAUUCUCAUGUUCUGGUCUGGAUUGUCAGAAAUAUUGAAUCUCAUGUAGUCAAUAUCUCAUGUUACUUAGUUGUAUCAUGACAGUCUUCACAACAAAUUUACUGAAAAAAAUGCAGUAAUUUUAUGAAAUGAUUUCCAAAUUCAAACACAAUACCAUUCAUUAUGUUAUUUAUGGAGGUAUAGUAUGCAUAUUCUGACAUUUGUGAUCAUGCUGAUAGUUAGCACAUGAACAUUAAUUAUAGUUUUGAGGUGUUCAGGUAGGUCAGAUGAUCAGUGAAUUUGACUAAAGUUAUAAGCUAGGUCAGAUGAUCAGUGAAUUUGACCAAAGUUAUAAGCUAGGUCAGAUGAUCAAUGAAUUUGACCAAAGUUAUAAGCUAGGUAUAGUGAAUAGCUACAUGUCGACCAGCUUAUAUUUGGUGAAAAUUAGAUACAUGCAUAUACAACAUUGUACAAUGUAUGAUUUCAGGGAUUUUUUAUAAAAAUAUUGAAAUUAUGGGGUACUUUAUGACCUCUGCCAUGUCUGCCCCAAAAAUGUCAAAUCAGUUGCUAAAAAUUUCAGCAGUAAGUGUUUACAAGAAAAAACCAGUUUAAGUUAGAAAUAAUUACAAAAGGGUUCAAUGUACUUUGAAAAAAGGGCUUAAAUAGGUCCUUAUGAUAUCAUGACCUUUAUCAUGGUUCUGUGGCAUGGGUUUUACUCAUUGUUGAAGGCCGUACAGUGACCUAUAGUUGCUA
rnacentral:lncRNA from 1 species